rnacentral:ribozyme from 1 species
UUCGGCCAGCAGAAAAAACAAUUAAAAGUAGCGCGCCUUUAUGUCGCUACUUGUGGUCGGAUCGCGUCCCUGGCACUUGGGGUUUUCAACCCCCCCGCGCCAGCGCCCCGCGCCCGCUGCCAGUGCUACUACAUUUCCAGGCGGCGCC